AUUGAGGGGGUUGAAGGACUGCUUGUUGGAAGAGAGAGAGAGAGGAGUAUUGAGGGGGUUGAAGGACUGCUUGUUGGAAGAGAGAGAGAGAGAGAGAGAGAGGGGAGUAUUGAGGGGGUUGAAGGACUGCUUGUUGGAAGAGAGAGAGAGAGGAGUAUUGAGGGGGUUGAAGGACUGCUUGUUGGAAGGGAGAGAGAGAGAGAGAGGGAGGAGUAUUGAGGGGGUUGAAGGACUGCUUGUUGGAAGAGAGAGAGAGAGAGAGAGAGAGAGGAGGGGAGUAUUGAGGGGGUUGAAGGACUGUUUGUUGGAAGAGAGAGAGAGAGGGGAGUAUUGAGGGGUUGAAGGACUGCUUGUUGGAAGAGAGAGAGAGAGAGAGAGAGAGAGAGAGAGAGAGAGAGGAGUGUUGAGGGGGUUGAAGGACUGUUUGUUUGGAGAGAGAGAGAGAGAGAGAGAGAGGGAGUAUUGAGGGGG
rnacentral:lncRNA from 1 species